rnacentral:lncRNA from 1 species
UAGGUGUGACACGUUCACAUAACUGUGCAGCACAUGCCGGGAGUGAUCAGUCAGACAUUUUAAUUUGAACCACGUAUCUCUGGGUAGCUACAAAAUUCCUCAGGGAUUUCAUUUUGCAGGCAUGUCUCUGAGCUUCUAUACCUGCUCAAGGUCAUUGUCAUCUUUGUGUUUAGCUCAUCCAAAGGUGUUACCCUGGUUUCAAUGAACCUAACCUCAUUCUUUGUGUCUUCAGUGUUGGCUUGUUUUAGCUGAUCCAUCUGUAACACAGGAGGGAUCCUUGGCUGAGGAUUGUAUUUCAGAACCACCAACUGCUCUUGACAAUUGUUAACCCGCUAGACUCCUUUGGUUAGAGAAGCCACAGUCCUUCAGCCUCCAAUUGGUGUCAGUACUUAGGAAGACCACAGCUAGAUGGACAAACAGCAUUGGGAGGCCUUAGCCCUGCUCCUCUCUAUUCCAUCCUGUAGAGGUCAGGAGUCAGGAGUCGCUGGCAGGAGACAGCAUGUCACCCAGGACUCUGCCGGUGCAGAAUAUGAACAAUGCCAUGUUCUUGCAGAAAACGCUUAGCCUGAGUUUCAUAGGAGGUAAUCACCAGACAACUGCAGAAUGUAGAACACUGAGCAGGACAACUGACCUGUCUCCUUCACAUAGUCCAUAUCACCACAAAUCACACAACAAAAAGGAGAAGAGAUAUUUUGGGUUCAAAAAAAGUAAAAAGAUAAUGUAGCUGCAUUUCUUUAGUUAUUUUGAACCCCAAAUAUUUCCUCAUCUUUUUGUUGUUGUCAUGGAUGGUGGUGACAUGGACUUGUUUAUAGAAGACAGGUCAGCUGUCUGGCUCAAUGAUCUACAUUCUGAAGUUGUCUGAAAAUGUCUUCAUGAUUAAAUUCAGCCUAAACGUUUUGCCAGGAACACUGCAGAGACAAUGCUGUGAGUUUCCAACCUCAGCCCAUCUGCGGGCAGAGAAGGUCUAGUUUGUCCAUCACCAUUAUGAUAUCAGGACUGGUUACUUGGUUAAGGAGGGGUCUAGGAGAUCUGUCCCUUUUAGAGACACCUUACUUACAAUGAAGUACUUGGGAAAGUGGUUUUCAAGAGUAUAAAUAUCCUGUAUUCUAAUGAUCAUCCUCUAAACAUUUUAUCAUUUAUUAAUCCUCCCUGCCUGUGUCUAUUAUUAUAUUCAUAUCUCUACACUGCAAAUUUGGGGUCUCAAUUUUUACUGUGCCUUUGUUUUUACUAGUGUCUGCUGUUGCAAAAAGAAGACAUUCUCUGCCUGAGUUUUAAUUUUUGUCCAAAGUUAAUUUUAAUCUAUACAAUUAAAACCUUUUGCCUAUCACUCUGGACUUUUGGAUUGUUUUUUACAUUCAGUGUUAUAAUAUUUGAUUAUGGUGAUUGGUUUUGGUGGGUACUGAUGCGAAUUAAU